GUCCAGGGAUGGGAAUCGAACCCACAAUGUUCCGCUUUCCGGGCAGAUGCCAUGUUUCUAGGUUACCCUGGA